rnacentral:misc_RNA from 1 species
UUAAAAUAAAAGUUAAAUAUUUUUAUUAAGAGAUUCAAGUAGGCACUGUUGUAUAAAAUUCUGAAUUGCAACUGCUGGUUCUAAUUGAACAUAUUCAGUUUUGACAUUCUAAAAAAAAAAAAUAUUCAGUUUUGGUACAAGACAAUUAAUUUUAUACGGUGGAACGACUACAUGUACAAAUGAUAUACUACAAGACUAAAUUCACUAUAUCAA